rnacentral:rRNA from 1 species
AUUGAACGCUGGCGGCAGGCCUAACACAUGCAAGUCGAGCGGAUGAAGGGAGCUUGCUCCUGGAUUCAGCGGCGGACGGGUGAGUAAUGCCUAGGAAUCUGCCUGGUAGUGUUGGAUAACGUCCGUAAACGGGCGCUAAUACCGCAUACGUCCUGAGGGAGAAAGUGGGGGAUCUUCGGACCUCACGCUAUCAGAUGAGCCUAGGUCGGAUUAGCUAGUUGGUGGGGUAAAGGCCUACCAAGGCGACGAUCCGUAACUGGUCUGAGAGGAUGAUCAGUCACACUGGAACGGAGACAGGGUCAAGACGACUACGGGAGGCAGCAGUGGGGAAUAUUGGACAAUGGGCGAAAGCAUGAUACAGCAAUGCCGAGUGUGUGAAGAAGGUCUUAGGAUUGUAAAGAACUUUAAGUUGGGAGGAAGGGAAGUAAGUUAAUACCUUGCUGUUUUGACGUUAACAAAAGAAUAAGCACCGGCUAACUUCGUG